rnacentral:lncRNA from 15 species
CUUGUGAUUUUUUAGCAGGCCGUCUGUAGAAAAUCUGUUCGUAUUUUCAAUCACGAAACAAAUAACAGACUUUUUCCGGCUUCUUUUUCAAGAUUCAGCUUUUUAGAUUUAGUUUCAGACUAGAUUUUCCAAUGCUGCAUAACAAAAAAGACUAAUUCAACAGCUUGAGUCUUGUGAGAAAAGCAUUAAAUACAGAUAAAAUAUUUGAAUCCAUACGGUAGACAAAAUAUGAACAAACACAAACUCAGAAGGUGCAUGCUUGUUUCAUGUGUGGGAAAGUGAGGGAGGACGGUGAGACUUAUCUGCAUUGAUUUGAUUUGAAAUCACUACUGAGAUUAUUUUAGGGUUCGCCUGGAGCAGCAGUGUGUGGAUUAAGUGGCUCGAUACAUGACAACAGUGUAUUCCAGUUUUUUUAAUGGAGAGAUGAAUGGAGGGCAAAGCAUCAGAGCUCUUGUGUUCAUGGCUGCUAAUUGACGUAAAGUGCAAUCUUCUCAGCCCCCCCACCCCCCGGCCCUGCUUAACCACUCACACAGCAAUGGCAAACAAUACCACGUGGCACCAUGGAGCAUGGCAACCGAUAGCUCACACAAUUAUGCGCGAAUAAACAGGAAAACUUCAUUUACAAAUCUCUUCCCAGAUAACUGUGUCCAGGCACUGUGAUGAUAGAUAUAUGUAGCAUUUAGUAUUGAGUAUUAUGUUCUGUACCACAGGCAGAAAGAGGCUGUUGAGAAAGAUGUGCCAUACAUGAAGAGCAAUGGAGCAGCAGAAACCCCAAAAAGACAACAGUGAGCAUCACAGGACAAGACCAGAGUGGGCCAUCAAGUCCGGUGAGCAUCAGUGGCCGCUGCUAUCAAGAUAUUUUCCCCCAGAUACUACAAGAGAGACUUCCUGUUAUCUUUUCUGUUGUUUUCUCCUCAUUGAUCAGAUUCUGAUUCAUGUGCACUUGACAGCUCACGACAAGACUCCCACCAGGAUUUUAAAAAAAAAGUGGGCUAGAAAAACAAUGAGCCCUGUUUUGAUCGUGGCUUCCCUUAUCUGUCCUGCAGAUGCUCUCAUUACCGAAACCGGAAACAGCAACUGAGUGGAUUCCAGCUUGGAAGAUGAAGCCUGACAAAUGCUGUGUAGCUAUUUGUCACAAAAACUGAAUUUACAAUAUUGUUUUCUGUUACAGAACAGAUGUGGUCAGGGUUUUAAGUGAUAAAACAUGUUCUGUGCCUCUGUAUUAAAACCAGCUACAAUGAUUUAGUUGAUCUUCUUGCUUUUAAAAUAUUUUGAACUAUUUGUGAUAAAUGUAUGCAUGAGGACAGGAUGUAUCUUAAAGAGUAGCUUCUCUGAAGAUCUCAUAAGUGACCUAAUUAAUCCUGAACUAGGGGCUGAAGUCAUGUAUUGUCUUGUGCACUGUAUGGCAGGUAGGGUCAUUCCGUGAGUCCCUUAAAGGUUCAUGUUGUUCUCACAGGGGAAGCCCUCUGAUUAAAUAAGUGUCACUGUGUGCUUCUGAGUGUCACUGAUAUCGUCUCUUUUACAUGAACUAAGAAUAGCUGUGUUUGUUCUGCUGUUAACUUAUUAAAAUAUGUACAUUUAUCUAAUAAUGACAUCAGUGAAGCAUUUAUUUCCCCUCUUCAAAACAGGCUAGUUUAGAAAUGGUCUGUUUUGUAUGGUUUUGUUGGUUGCACAUGGUUAUUGUUAUCAAUGUGUGCUAUUAGCAAUGUCCUUUGCCUCCAAAGAGUAAAAUAGAUGUUUCAGAUUGCAUAAGAAAUGUAGAAUGACAUUGCUGUAAAUGGUGUUCUCUUUCAAAGUAUACACUGGACUUUUGCUUCACAAUCAAGUAUUUAAAAACAUAAAGGUUCUUUAUUUUCUAUAUAUUUUCUGCAUUAAGUGCAUUCUGAAACAUGUCUUAAAUAUUGAUAUAGAGCAUGAAACAGAAUAAGAUAGACUUUAUUGUUCUAGUGGGAAAUAUGCCUGGGACAUCACAUUGUGUGCAGUUUAAAAUCACAGAAACACAACAGUAAAAACAACCCCCCAUCAUCACAGUCAUCUACAAAAUUGCAAGGUAAAGAUCAUCCCAUGGCAUGCAUUAUAAACUCAUUUCCAUACACACUCAUGCAACUUUAUCACAGGAGAACUACUAUCAAUUGUCAGCUGGAAGUGAGAUAUAGUCCAACAGACACUGUUUUGUAGUUUUUUGCUGUUUAAUCUAUCACAAUAAAUGUAGAUUUGAAAUAGUCUGCAGCAGGAUACACUGAGACCCCCCCCCACACACACACACACACAGAACAACUCCCCACUGCCACACUAACACAGCAACAAGGAUGGUUUUGUGAUGAUGGAGAUGGUUAUAAAUUUGAGCAGUGCGCUUACUGAAGUUAUCAUCGUACUGAUUAGGAGUGCAGCAUCAGGCCUAGACCUCACUGAAUUAAACAUAGGCUUCAGAAGAUAAAUUAUUCAGCUCUUCAGUUUUGCUGUCACUGAUUUGUUUCCACUAGCUCUCUGAGCUCUGGCGCCACCUGGUGGUGAAAGAGUUAGAUUUAGAUUUCACCGAGUAAGGAAGCAGCUAAAGAUGUCAAAGGGAGUCAAAGACGAGCAACUUCAACAUUUAAACGCAGCCCAAAACGAACUCAUUUCUGAAACAUGUUUCCUGAACGGGUACGCUGAAACUACGCUACCCACAAUGCACUGCGGACUGUAAACAGGAAAUGUGUGUCUCGCGCCGGGUUGUGGUUACGAUGCUGCUGCAGCAACUAAAUCUCUCAAAAAUAGAUGCUUGUGAUUUGGCUUUUGUUUUACGUGCAGCUCAAAUCUAAAACUUUGUAAUUAACGUUACAACCAUAAACUUUGUGUUAGCAGACUGAACGUGUGCAACGUGGCUAACGGCUGUUUAUGUAGUUACUGUUAGCUAGUCUGUAGCUGUAGCGGUGUGAUUGGGUUCAGUCUCAACUUACUGUGAGCAAAGUUGCCACAUUUUUGAAUAAAAAAAAAACGUCGCGACUAAACACACAAGUGUUAAAGCGAGACACAAUGCGUUAUGUAGCCAUAUGAUCUAACUAUAAUGGUGUAUUGGCUCUCUAACAUG